AUUAUACUCCCUCCGUCCGAAAAAGCUUGUUCCUCAAAUGGAUGUAUCUAACACCAAGUUAGUGCUAGAUUCAUCCAUUUGAGGGACAGGCUUUUUUGGACGGAGGGGGUAUGAA
rfam:Triticum aestivum genome assembly, contig: Triticum_aestivum_CS42_TGACv1_scaffold_576858_7BL